rnacentral:misc_RNA from 1 species
GAUGAAGACGUAGUGAAAUGCGAUAAGUAGUGUGAAUUGCAGAAUUCAGUGAAUCAUCGAAUCUUUGAACGCACAUUGCGCCCCUUGGUAUUCCAUGGGGCAUGCCUGUUCGAGCGUCAUUUGUACCUUCAAGCUCUGCUUGGUGUUGGGUGUUUGUCUCGCCUUGCGCGUAGACUCGCCUUAAAACAAUUGGCAGCCGGCGUAUUGAUUUCGGAGCGCAGUACAUCUCGCGCUUUGCACUCAUAACGACGACGUCCAAAAGUACUUUUUACACUCUUGACCUCGGAUCAGGUAGGGAUACCCGCUGAACUUAAGCAUAUCAAUAAGCGGAGGA